GGUGCCUUAGCUCAGCUGGUAGAGCAACGGACUGAAAAUCCGUGUGUCCCCAGUUCGAUUCUGGGAGGCACCA
rnacentral:tRNA from 1 species